rnacentral:rRNA from 1 species
AGAGUUUGAUCCUGGCUCAGGACGAACGCUGGCGGCGUGCCUAAUACAUGCAAGUCGAGCGAGCUUACCUAGAUGAUUUUAGUGCUUGCACUAAAUGAAACUAGAUACAAGCGAGCGGCGGACGGGUGAGUAACACGUGGGUAACCUGCCCAAGAGACUGGGAUAACACCUGGAAACAGAUGCUAAUACCGGAUAACAACACUAGACGCAUGUCUAGAGUUUGAAAGAUGGUUCUGCUAUCACUCUUGGAUGGACCUGCGGUGCAUUAGCUAGUUGGUAAGGUAACGGCUUACCAAGGCAAUGAUGCAUAGCCGAGUUGAGAGACUGAUCGGCCACAUUGGGACUGAGACACGGCCCAAACUCCUACGGGAGGCAGCAGUAGGGAAUCUUCCACAAUGGACGAAAGUCUGAUGGAGCAACGCCGCGUGAGUGAAGAAGGGUUUCGGCUCGUAAAGCUCUGUUGGUAGUGAAGAAAGAUAGAGGUAGUAACUGGCCUUUAUUUGACGGUAAUUACUUAGAAAGUCACGGCUAACUACGUGCCAGCAGCCGCGGUAAUACGUAGGUGGCAAGCGUUGUCCGGAUUUAUUGGGCGUAAAGCGAGUGCAGGCGGUUCAAUAAGUCUGAUGUGAAAGCCUUCGGCUCAACCGGAGAAUUGCAUCAGAAACUGUUGAACUUGAGUGCAGAAGAGGAGAAUGGAACUCCAUGUGUAGCGGUGGAAUGCGUAGAUAUAUGGAAGAACACCAGUGGCGAAGGCGGCUCUCUGGUCUGCAACUGACGCUGAGGCUCGAAAGCAUGGGUAGCGAACAGGAUUAGAUACCCUGGUAGUCCAUGCCGUAAACGAUGA